GCCAAGCUCACCAAGGCGCACGGUGGAUGCCUGGGGGUUGAGGGGGCCGACGAAGGACGCGGCGGGCGGCGAAACGCGCCGGGGAGCGGCCCUGCACGCGGUGAUCCGGCGAUCUCCGAAUGGGGUAACCCGCCCGGCGGCAACGCCGGGCGUCCCCGGUGGCCACCGGGGACGGGAACCGGGGGAAGGGAAACAUCUCAGUACCCCGAGGAGCAGAAACCAAACGGGAUUCCCUCAGUAGUGGCGAGCGAACGGGGAACAGCCCAAACCGGCCACCCCUGGCGGGGGGUCGGGGUUGUGCGGCCCGGCCGGGGGCGACCCCACACGUCGUGGCUCAUCCCUAGCCGAACAGCCGUGGGACCGGCGGCCAGAGAGGGUGAAAGCCCCGUAGGCGAAAGGGGAGCGCGCGUGGCCGGGUGCGCGAGUACCACGGAGCACGGUCACGCCGUGGGAAGCUGGGGGGACUACCCUCCAAGGCUAAAUACCCCCUCCACCGAUAGUGGACCAGUACCGUGAGGGACCGGUGAAAAGAACCCCGGAAGGGGAGUGAAAGAGAGCCUGAAACCGUGCGCCGACAGGUGGUCAGAGGGGGCCACGGGCCCCUGAUGGCGUGCGUCUUGUAGAAUGAGCCGGCGAGUCGGUCUCCGUGGCGAGGUUAAGGGGGUCAGCCCCGGAGCCGUAGCGAAAGCGAGUCCGAAGAGGGCGCCAGUCGCGGGGAUCGGACGUGAAUCCGGGCGAGCGACCCAUGGCCAGGGUGAACGCUGGGAUCAGCGGGAGGCCCGAACCGGUGGGCAGUGCAAAGCCUUCGGAUGAGCUGUGGGUAGCGGUGAUACGCCAAUCAAGCCCGGGGAUAGCGCGUUCUCCCCGAAAUGCAUCUCAGUGCAGCCUCGGGCGGUCGACCCCGGCGGUAGAGCCGCCGCCGGGGCGGGGGUGCGCCCUCGCCCCGGCGAACUUGCGAACACCGGGGCCGCAGCCCGGGAGUGAGACGGCGGGGAUAAGCUCCGUCGUCGAGAGGGGAACAGCCCAGACCACCGGCUAAGGUCCCUCAAUCCGGGCUCAGUGACAGUCAAAGGAGGUCGGCCUGCGCAGACAGCCAGGUGGUGGGCUUAAAAGCAGCCAGCCACCAAAGAGUGCGUGCAAGCUCACUGGCCGAGCGGGCCGGCGCCGAAGAUGGACGGGUCUAGGCCCGGUACCGAAGCCGUGGGCCCGGUCCACCGACCGGGCGGUAGGGGAGCGUGAGGCCAGCGAUGAAGGGGCGUCGGCAGGCGCCCUGGAGCGUGGCCCCAGUGCGAAUGCCGGCACGAGUAGCGAGUAUGGUGGGUGAGAAACCCGCCUACCGGAAGCCCGAGGUUUCCCGCGCUCUGUGCAUCAGCGCGGGGUUAGCCGGGCCUAAGCUGAGGCCGAAAGGCGUAGGCGAUGGGGAGCCGGUUGAUAUUCCGGCGCCACCCCGUCUGCGCGACCGCGGAAACGCGGUCAGACCGCUCCGGUGACGCGUGCUCCCUGGGUGGGCGUGGGACUGGUCGUCCACGUUCUUCGGCCCGGCCACGGUCUGGCCGGGCCCGGAGAAGAGCCCUCAGGCGAUCCGUCUGGGGAGGGCGCCGAGAAAAGCCGUGGCGGCAGCGGACGGGGUGCCCGUACCGCAAACCGACACAGGUGGGCGAGGGCGAGUGCCCACAGGUAGCCGAGCGACACCUCGCUAAGGAACUCGGCAAGAGUGCCCCCGACCUGCGGGUGGGGGCUGCCGUGGCGGUCGGUCGUCGGCCGGCUCGAUCCCGGUCGGCGACGGGCCGCCGGCGGCCGCAGUGAACGCGCCGGGGCGUCUGUUUACAAAAAACACCGGUCCCUGCUCAAGCCGUAAGGCGCUGUAUAGGGGCUGCCGCCUGCUCAGCGCCGGGACCUAAGGCUGGUCGGCUCGACCACGAGCGUCGGGUUGACCCCGAAACCCCGGUGUAGCUGCGGUGGUAACCAUGACCACCGGAAGGUAGCGAAAUGCCUUGGCGGCUAAAUACCGCCGUGAACGAACGGCUGAACGACCCCGGCACUGUCUCAGCGAGGCCCUCGGCGAAACUAAAGGCCCCGUGAAAAUGCGGGGGACCCGCACCCGGACACCAAGACCCCGUGGGACUUUACUGGAGCCUGGUAUGGGGCCCACGCGCCCUCACCCGGCCGGUGGACGGCCGGGGACCGUGCCAGGUGGCCAGUUUAGCUGGAGCGGCUGCCUCCGAAAAUGUACCGGAGGCGUCCAAAGGUCCCCUCAACACGGAUGGAAAUCGUGGGGAGCGUGCAAGGGCUAAUAGUCCAAGGGGGCCUGACUGUGAGGGCGACCGCCCGAGCAGGGCCGAAAGGCGGGCCUAGUGAAGCUUGGGGGUCCACGUAGGUGGCCCCUGGCGGCAUCGGGUCAAAGUUCCCCGGGGAUAAGAGGUCAGUCGCGCCCGAGAGACCCCAUCGACGGCGCGGUUCGAUCCUCCGAUGUCGGCUCGCCUCAUCCUGGGGCUGAAGCCGGUCCCAAGGGUUGGGGUGUUCACCCAUGAAAGAGGCAUGUGAGCUGGACUUAGACCGGCGUGAGCCAGGUCGAAUCUUUAUCCGGUGCGGGGGUGAGGAGGCUUGCGGGGUGCUGCCCCCAGUACGAGAGGACCGGGGUGGGGGAACCGCCGGCGUACCGGUUGUGAUGCCCGUCGCAUCGCCGGGUAACCAACGUUCCUCAGGGAUAAGCGCUGAACGCAUCUAAGUGCGAAGCCCGCCCCAACACGAGGCCUCCGGCCCACAGGGCUAAGGCCCCAGGGAGACGACCUGGUUGAUAGGGGGGAGGUCGACAGUCGGCAACGACUGCAGCUGACCCCUCCUAAUGGCCGAGCGCUUGGCCC
rnacentral:rRNA from 1 species